rnacentral:rRNA from 1 species
CGGCGGACGGGUGAGUAACACGUGGAUAACCUACCUAUAAGACUGGGAUAACUUCGGGAAACCGGAGCUAAUACCGGAUAAUAUAUUGAACCGCAUGGUUCAAUGGUGAAAGACGGUUUUGCUGUCACUUAUAGAUGGAUCCGCGCCGCAUUAGCUAGUUGGUAAGGUAACGGCUUACCAAGGCAACGAUGCGUAGCCGACCUGAGAGGGUGAUCGGCCACACUGGAACUGAGACACGGUCCAGACUCCUACGGGAGGCAGCAGCCC